ensembl:lncRNA
CCGGACCACCCCAGAAGCUCUCUCGCCUGCCUGCUAUAUGACCUGGGCCCACCGUUGUUGCGUCCAUGCAAAGCGCCAUUGUUAUGGCGAACACAAUAAAUAUUUCACAUUUUCAAAAAGAGAGCAGUUUUCCUCUUCCACACUCGUCAGUGUUCAGGCCCCUAAUCAGCGGCCUGCCAUCCGACACUAUCCAGCCUCUUGUCACCCCGGAGUGUCCAAGUGGGUGUUGGGGAUAAUAAAACACGGCUACUCACUGCAGUUUGCCCGAAGACCCCCGCGUUUUUGCGGGGUGAUUCCCACCUUGGUAGAGCCGGACGACGCUCAGGUCCUCCGCACCGAAGUGAUGACGCUGUUAAGGAAGGGAGCCAUAGAGAUAGUUCCUCCCUCAGAAAGCAGAUCGGGGUUCUACAGCCGUUAUUUCCUUGUCCCCAAGAAAGAUGGCGGUCUCAGACCCAUCUUAGACCUCAGACACCUGAACCUAUCCCUCAUGAAACGGAAGUUCAGGAUGUUGACAUUGAAGCAGAUCCUCACGCAAAUUUGCCCCGAGGACUGGUUCUUCUCGCUGGACCUGAAAGACGCUUACUUUCAGAUCCAGAUAGCCCCCCCUCACAGACGAUUCUUGAGAUUCGCGUUCGAGGGUGUGGCUUACCAAUAUACAGUCCUUCCCUUUGGGCUGUCUCUAGCUCCCCGCACUUUCACGAAGUGCAUGAACGAGGCACUUUCCCCUCUGAGACAGAUGGGAAUCCGCAUUCUCAUUCUAGCCCAGUCAGGAACCGAGCUAGACCACAACAGAUCCGUGCUCCUGAGCCACUUAGAGUGCCUAGGACUCAGGGUCAAUUUCGCCAAGAGCUCACUGCUCCCCAGCCAACGUAUUACGUUCCUGGGAGCGGUUUUCGACUCAGUCAAUAUGAGGGCGGUCAUAUCACCAGAGCGCACUCUGGUACUUCAGCAGCUCACGGCCUCUGUCAGGAACAAAGCCUGUUUCCCUCUGAAGUUCUUUCAGAGGAUGCUAGGGCUGAUGGCUUCCGCCUCCCCAGUUUUACAGCUCGGCCUCCUACGAAUGCGGCCCCUGCAAUACUGGCUGAAACUCCGGGUCCCACCUCAUGCUUGGCGGCACGGCCGCUUUUGCAUCAGGGUCAACCAGGCCUGUCUAGCAGCCCUGGAGCCUUGGAUGAACCCUGUUUGGUUCAGUCGUGGAGUACCCCUACAGGCGGUUUCCAGAAGGACGGUGCUCUCAACAGAUGCGUCCAACCUGGGUUGGGGUGCUCUGUGCGAGGGCAGACCAGCCUUCGGCUCGUGGUCGCACGAGGAAAGCCAUCUCCAUAUCAACUGCCUCGAGAUGCUGGCAGUAGAACGAGCCCUUCAAUCCUUUCAGGCGAUCCUGGAAGGGCGCCACAUCCUAGUCCAGUCGGACAGCAUGACAGUGGUGUCCUACAUAAAUCACCAAGGCGGCCUUUCGUCCAGCCGCCUCUGUGCACUGGCAAAGCGCCUCUUGGAAUGGGC